AUUAAUCAUUGUUUUGUCCUUAGAUUUGAGAUACACUUAUAAAUUAGUCCUUCAUGUUUAAAAUACAUAUGAACGUUGGUUUUUUCUUAAGAUUUCCAAUUGUAAAACUCUUUCAAAAAAAGAAUUAUUAUUUCCAGUUUGAUUUCAAAACCAUGAAACCGAAAAAACAGGUGCUCACUCCUUGAUAAUAUAAUAAUAAGCAAGAAUCGAAGAGACUUAAGUUAUAACCUGAUCCUUUCAAUAGAUCUCAAGUUUGUUUUUCUGUCUCUCUUGUUGAUAUAAGAUGAUGAGGUUAUUGCUUCAUGUCAUUGGUUGCAGAUUCUGUGUGCUUAUUCUUCCAUGGGAUGUGAGAAGCAACUUGAUUUAUCUCCUGGUUGCAGAAAGGUUUUUGGCAAGGUUUCAAGGGUGGUGAUAAUAGGGACAAGAACUUGAUCUUCAGAGUGAAAAGGACUGUGAAAAAGCUUGCAAGAACUGAGCUAGAGGUCUUUCUCGUUGGAGAGGUUUCUUGAGAGUCAAAACCUGACUUUAAGGUGAAAGGUUUCCCCUUCCAAAGAUCAUUUAUGAACGAUCUAUCGAGGCGAUUCCAUUGUAGCGCAGACCAGUCUCAUAUACGAGUUUCGCCAGAUUUAUGCCCGGCGGAGUAAAUUUCUGUUAAUCUUAUUUCCUGGAUCUGUAUGUCAUUGCUUGAUAGUAUCUUUGGCUAUAAUUUUCUUAUACGGACAGCAACAAUUGACCUGAGAAUUUACAUUGUACAUCGUUCCAUACUCACGGGAAUGCAUAUGUUAUUUCUUUG